rnacentral:rRNA from 1 species
ACUUUACAAUGCGGGAAACCGCGAUAAGGGGAUACUGAGUGCCAGCAUCUUAUGUUGGCUGUCCGCAUGUAUAAAUAGCAUGUGUUAGCAAGGGCCGGGCAAGACCGGUGCCAGCCGCCGCGGUAACACCGGCGGCCCGAGUGGUGGCCACUAUUAUUGGGUCUAAAGGGUCCGUAGCCGGUUUGAUCAGUCUUCCGGGAAAUCUGACAGCUCAACUGUUAGGCUUCCGGGGGAUACUGUCAGACUUGGGACCGGGAGAGGUAAGAGGUACUACAGGGGUAGGAGUGAAAUCUUGUAAUCCUUGUGGGACCACCAGUGGCGAAGGCGUCUUACCAGAACGGGUCCGACGGUGAGGGACGAAAGCUGGGGGCACGAACCGGAUUAGAUACCCGGGUAGUCCCAGCCGUAAACGAUGCUCGCUAGGUGUCUGGGACGGUGCGACCGUUUCAGGUGCCGCAGGGAAGCCGUGAAGCGAGCCACCUGGGAAGUACGGCCGCAAGGCUGAAACUUAA